rnacentral:rRNA from 1 species
UACGAGAGGCCCAAACGUUAUUCGGAAUUACUGGGCUUAAAGAGUUCGUAGGCGGCGCAGAAAGUAGGGUGUGAAAGCCCUCGGCUCAACCGAGGAAUUGCGCUCUAAACUACUGUGCUUGAGGAAUCUAGAGGUGAGCGGAACUGAUGGUGGAGCGGUGAAAUGCGUUGAUAUCAUCAGGAACACCGGAGGCGAAGGCGGCUCACUGGGGAUUUUCUGACGCUGAGGCGCGAAAGCCAGGGGAGCAAACGGG